UCAGACCCUAUCUCCCUAAUCCUUAUCUUAUAAAAUCUUUUCAACGCCGAUUUCAUUCUUCCCCAUCUUAAUCCCCAUUGCUUCCACUCUUCAAUGGCUUAAUUCAUCCCUUUCAAUUAGUGAUUUCAAUCCCUAAGGCUACUGCUCAAUGGAUCUAGCUUCAAUUUCGAGUUCCAACUUCUAAUUCACAGCUUCUUCAUAUCGGUGGUUCAACCAUGGUCCAUGGCUGACUAUAAGAGAGGAGACACAUCUCCAGGGCGAUUCAAGUUAUCAUUUCCAUCCUCGCAUCUAUCAUCAGGUAAGCGUUGAAGGAACCCUUCAAAUUUGUCGAUUCUAUAAUCUCUAUCAAUCAAUAUCGUCUAAAUCAAACAUUCACAGUUUGCAAAUCGUACAUGCAGUUUCUUAAGUUGCUGUUGCUGAAUUGCUGUUGUUGAUGUUGCGAAUCGUACAUGCAGUUUGCGAAUCGUAAUCGCUGGACUGCUAAUGUUGCUGUUGCUGAAUUGCUGAUUCUGUUUAUGUUAAUUUUCCACAGUUUCUUAAGUUUGUUUAGUUUGUUUGGUUAAGGAUGAUGGAUUUCUUAGUUUGUUUUUAUUAAGUUACCACAGUUUAAGACAUUGAAUCACACAAAUUUUUACAUUUCUGUAAGUUCACAGUUCUGGAUUUUAUGCAGAUCUUGAAUACGAAAUUCUGCAAUUUUUCACUUUUUCUUUUAAUACGGACUGACAGGCUUUACCCGAGAUUCGGUGAUCUAACGGAUCAGGGUUAGGAUUUUAGUUCAGUCCAGUUUGGGCUCCAGGCCUGGGUAAUUUGAAACCCGGAUGGUGAAACGGACAGAUAACAGAGGUCCCUAAUCCGGACCCGACAGGCUCGGAUGCCAAGCAUAUUUGGCACUUACAAGCAUGUCAAAUUUUGGCGUUGUUGUUGGGGACACGUUGGUGUAUGUGAUAGAAGUGUAUUUUCGAUUAGUCAUUCACUUCCGUUUUAGUUUUCGUUUUAACAGGUUCACUCUCAUUUUAUGUUGCCACUUUUGAGUCUCAACAAUCUAAACUAAAGCAGCACCAUACAGUGGAAUAUAUUGAAGUAAAAAGUCGGGACAACUCAGAAGAAGACGAAGAUUUUUGAAGACUCACAAUCAUGCCCUUACCAAAUCGGUGAAAAGCGGAUUAUAGAAGAAGUGGAUUCCAUUGAUCCGUACUAUAUUCAUAGCAUCCCACAUUUAUCGGAAUUUGAAGAAACGCUACACUUUAUCCAUUCUAUCCUAAGAUGAAUUAAUUUGUAACAUUGGGUACCGAGAGAGGAAAUUUAUGCAAAUGAUUUGCUAUUAUAUUUAGAUUAUUUUCAUAUAAAAUUUACAAUUGAUUGCAGGAU
rnacentral:lncRNA from 1 species